AUUGAACGCUGGCGGCAUGCCUUACACAUGCAAGUCGAACGGUAACGCGGGGCAACCUGGCGACGAGUGGCGAACGGGUGAGUAAUACAUCGGAACGUGCCCAGUAGUGGGGGAUAGCCCGGCGAAAGCCGGAUUAAUACCGCAUACGACCUACGGGUGAAAGCGGGGGAUCGCAAGACCUCGCGCUAUUGGAGCGGCCGAUGUCAGAUUAGGUAGUUGGUGGGGUAAAGGCCUACCAAGCCGACGAUCUGUAGCUGGUCUGAGAGGACGACCAGCCACACUGGGACUGAGACACGGCCCAGACUCCUACGGGAGGCAGCAGUGGGGAAUUUUGGACAAUGGGCGCAAGCCUGAUCCAGCCAUGCCGCGUGCGGGAAGAAGGCCUCGG
rnacentral:rRNA from 1 species